rnacentral:rRNA from 1 species
CCCCAGUAAACGGCGGCCGUAACUAUAACGGUCCUAAGGUAGCGAAAUUCCUUGUCGGGUAAGUUCCGACCCGCACGAAAGGCGUAACGAUUUGGGCACUGUCUCAACAACAGACUCGGUGAAAUUGUAAUUCCGGUGAAGAUGCCGGAUACCUGCGACAGGACGGAAAGACCCCAUGGAGCUUUACUGUAGCUUGACAUUGGGUCUUGGUACUACAUGUACAGGAUAGGUGGGAGGCUUUGAAACCAGGACGCCAGUUUUGGCGGAGCCAUCCUUGGGAUACCACCCUUGUAGUACUGGGACUCUAACCAUAGGCCAUGAAUCUGGUCUUGGGACACUGUCAGGUGGGCAGUUUGACUGGGGCGGUCGCCUCCCAAAAGGUAACGGAGGCGCUCAAAGGUUCUCUCAGUACGGUCGGAAAUCGUACGUAGAGUGUAAAGGCAAAAGAGAGCUUGAUUGCAAGACAUACAGGUCGAGCAAGGAUGAAAAUCGGACUUAGUGAUCCGGUGGUUCUGCGUGGAAGGGCCAUCGCUCAACGGAUAAAAGCUACCCUGGGGAUAACAGGCUUAUCUCCCCCAAGAGUCCACAUCGACGGGGAGGUUUGGCACCUCGAUGUCGGCUCAUCACAUCCUGGGGCUGUAGUAGGUCCCAAGGGUUGGGCUGUUCGCCCAUUAAAGUGGUACGCGAGCUGGGUUCAGAACGUCGUGAGACAGUUCGGUCCCUAUCCGUCGCA